rnacentral:lncRNA from 1 species
UUGGGAAUUUGCCCUCUUUAAAUGCAAAAAGUUUUGGUUUCUGUUAUGCAGAAAAGUGCUUCAAGUAGCAACUUUUGGUUUCAGUUUAGCUAACAGGUGUGACAAGAGCACUCUCUUCAUUUGGACUAAGUUCAUUCACAGUUAUAAAAUCAGUCAGGAGUGGAAGAAGCAGCAGAGCUCAUUUCCUCUUCCAGCCCAUAAAUAGAAACAGGUGGGCAAGGUCAGGACACUCAUUUUAGAAAUGUGAACGAUGUGGGGUGAGAUUUUCCACACCGCUCAAGCAGUUCUGUGCAUUUAACCUCAGAGCAUUAAGUACGGGCUGGGACUCCCUCCGUGAGGAGUUAUGGCACAUAGGGUGCUGGAGCAGCACUGGAGCUUUGUGACUGACCGAACACACAUCAAGUCCCCAUUGGGCCAGGAACUGUGAUAACAUCUGGGUUCCAUCCAGGCAGGACUUAUGAUAUCAGCCUUUCACCAGAACCAGAAAGGAACCCUGUGGGACCCUGCAAGGAACAUCCUUCAGAGUGAGAAAUUCUCAUUUACGAGCAACAUUAAAUCCGCUCAGUACAAGAUCUUUUGACUUUGCACUUCUCAUUUAUUUUCCACAGUGUCAUGUGCAGUGAAGUCA